AUUGAACGCUGGCGGCAGGCCUAACACAUGCAAGUCGAGCGGUAGAGAGGUGCUUGCAUCUCUUGAGAGCGGCGGACGGGUGAGUAAUGCCUAGGAAUCUGCCUAGUGGUGGGGGAUAACGUUCGGAAACGGACGCUAAUACCGCAUACGUCCUACGGGAGAAAGCGGGGGGAUCUUCGGACCUCGCGCCAUUAGAUGAGCCUAGGUCGGAUUAGCUAGUUGGUGAGGUAAUGGCUCACCAAGGCGACGAUCCCUAGCUGGUUUGAGAGGAUGAUCAGCCACACUGGAACUGAGACACGGUCCAGACUCCUACGGGAGGCAGCAGUGGGGAAUAUUGGACAAUGGGCGCAAGCCUGAUCCAGCCAUGCCGCGUGUGUGAAGAAGGCCUCGGUGUAAGCACUUCUAGCGAGGAGGAGGGUUAGUGUGUUAAUUAGCACAUAGCCUUG
rnacentral:rRNA from 1 species